UCAUCAGCGCUGUCAGGAUAAAACACCCAUCCAGAUCCUGCAGGAACAUGGCAUUAAAAUCAGCCGUGCGCCUGUGUUCGAGCUCAUAUACAGUCUGAUGGAGACAUGCACCAGCCUUCCUUCACGCUCAGCCUGACUACAGGAGACGCCACACGCAAGGCUCUGAUAUUUACAUUCAUACUUAUUUAAAUAACACCUAGUAAGAGUAUAAAUAAGAGAUGAUGUUUUGUUCUUAAAGGUGAAGGAUCCACUGAAAAGGCUGCUAAUCAUGAAGCAGAAGAAGCUGCACUGAAAUGAUUGAAACGAGACGCCCAGCUAAAGUAAACAGUCUCUGUGUUUUGUCUGUUCUCCAAGAAAGCAUGGAGUAUAGAGAAUCGUGAUGUUGGCCGAGUUCUGUGUGAAGGCACGUUGGGCUCAUGUAUCGGAACAGAUGAACGGGGAACUUCGGUCUAAUUGGUUGGUGUCACAGUCAUCAGCUGUUGUGCUGUAGUUGGUCACCAGAGGACACUCCUGUGCACUUAGUUUGAGCACAUGGCUUGUGUGUUGUUUGUGUCAUGUGCUCAUCUGUGUAUUGUUCUUGUUUCCUGAUUAUUGCUUCAGAUGAUUCACCUGUCGUUUCCCUCCUUGUUUGCUUCUCUAUUUAUUCUCUCAGUGUCUUCAUCCAUCAUCAUGUUUCCUCGUGUCUCUCUUGAUAUUAAGUAUAUUAUUUAAUAAAACCCAUUGCAUUACUGUGUUUGAGUCCUCUCUUCAUCUCUGACAGGUCGUGGCUCUCCAAGUAAUGUUCAGAAAUCAAAUGCAGUAAGAUGGACUUGUGAAGCAGCUGCAGAGAGAGAUGCAGAUCUCAGGAGAGAUGAACAUGGCCAGAUGCUGAGAAAGUGAUGCCUACCCGAGUCGUUAGUUUGAGAAACGAGUCUAAUUCUGGCAACAUUUGCAGAAUCUGGCAUUGAAAUGGGAAUUUGAACGCUGAAUUAGGAAAAAUGGAUGCUGGAGAACUCGGCCAAGAAUCCAACAGUCUCGGCCGGCUGAAUACAGUCACUCUUGGGCAAAACUUAUUUUUAUUAUUUUUUUCUUUUAAAAUUCUAUGCAUUUCUAAGCAUUCUAUGCAUUUUUCAGAAACCAGAAAAGAGAGGAAUCACUCCAGCACAGUAGAUGACGCUGUGAGUCCUGAACCUUCCUCAGAUUGACACCCGCCAGAAACACAUAAAAGAAGAAGAAAG